AUGUAAACUUGUAACUUCCUCCUGGGAAGUUCGUACGUACGAGGUGGGAAGUCGUGUUUACGACGUGAGGUGCGUUCAAGUCAGUUUCGUCGGAGCGAAAUGGCGGUGUACCUACUUUUAAUGAAUUACACGAAAAUACAGCAAGGUUUGUUAACUCUGCUAAUAAAAAA